AUUGUUUCUCAGCCUUGUGGCUAAAAUCAAGUGUAAUGUCUGUUACCAGUUUAAUAUCUGAUGUAUGCUCUAGCCACGGAGAGUAUGUUACAUGGAUUUUUGGAGCUAAGAGAUGGAGUUUCUGUCCACCCCACACAUCAACCUGGUAUCGCAGUUCCUCCAGAACAGUGCACCGCGC
ensembl:snRNA U2 U2 spliceosomal RNA